rnacentral:rRNA from 1 species
GACGAACGCUGGCGGCGUGCUUAACACAUGCAAGUCGAACGAUGAAAGCUGGCGCUUGCUCCGGCUGGAUUAGUGGCGAACGGGUGAGUAACACGUGAGCAAUCUGCCCUUGACUCUGGGAUAACUCCGAGAAAUCGGUGCUAAUACCGGAUAUGACCCUUGGCGGCAUCGCUGGGGGUGGAAAGUUUUUCGGUCAAGGAUGAGCUCGCGGCCUAUCAGCUUGUUGGUGAGGUAAUGGCGCACCAAGGCGACGACGGGUAGCCGGCCUGAGGGUGUGCACGGCCACACUGGGACUGAGUCACAGCCCAGAAUCCUGCGGGAGGCAGCAGUGGAGGAUAUUGCGCAAUGGGCGCAAGCCUGAUGCAGCAACGCCGCGUGGGGGAUGACGGCCUUCGGGUUGUAAACCUCUUUUAGCAGGGGAGAAGCGAAAGUGGCGGUACCUGCAGAAAAAGCACCGGCUAACUACGUGCCAGCCGCCGCAGUAA